UGUGUAGCUCCUCAUCACCAAGAUCAGAGAGAAGAUUCUAAAGGAUCUUCUUGAGUCGUUGAAAAGACAGUAAUCUUACUUAUGACAAAUUCCCAUUUCAUCUGACAGUUUACCUUCAUGUGCAAAAUGAAAAUUAUAAAUAAUCUGGUCGAGCAAUUCCAAAGACAAUCCAGAUCGAACCUGAUAUCGCUAAAUACAAUACGACGUUGCUGAACCAAAUAACCAAGAAAUAACAAUAGCAAUUUCAAUAGACAAAUUCUCCUUCAAUCUAACUUCUGGUCGCCAAAUGCAAAGAGAGAAUUAUAAAGGAUCUCCUUGAGCCGCACAGAAGACAAUCAGAAACUCCUCGUAGAUUUAAUCGCGAAUUUAUUCAUAACUCUGAAAACUCCGGUGCCAGGAUAGGGGAAAGGAUAAAAAGUCAAGCAAACGGAGAAGUAUAGGGAAGUUUGUGAUAUAGCUUCGGGCGGAGCUUUAUUAAACCGAUAAAUAAACAAAAAGGAAGAGGGAGUUGCCGCAGCGUUGGAUUCUUCAUCGACUUCUUUGUCGCCCAGCUCGAUAUACAGGGUUUUCUCUACUCGUCCCGCAACAUCGUAGGAACACAUGAUCUACAAGUGAAAAUAAGGAAAAAAUGUUACAGGAAGUUCGCUUGUAAACGCUUUGUUACAAAAUUGAAACACACGCUGGUGUUCUCGUACAGCAGAUAACACGCACAAACAUAAUUCGGCGUAUCCUUCCUUUGAAAAUAAUCUUGGAAUUUCGACAUGCUGUCUCACGCGAUAAUCGAAACCCAACAACCGCAGUAAAUAGUCAGAGAACAAGAAAUGUGGCGCAGGUACAGGCAAAGUAAGGACGAUCGACUUUCCAUAUUGUCCAGCUUCAAAUCUGCUGUUCCUCACCAUGUUUUUCUUAGUUUUAUUUGUAGAUCAUGCGCCUACGAUGUUGCCGGAAAAGUAGGAAACACCCUGUAUAUCCGAGAAUAAUAGAAGCCGGCACUCACCGCUGGAAUCACGUUCUUCCUGGCUUCUCUCCGGCCACUUCCGUCUUGGCCAGAUCCUUACACCGUCGUCUUGCCGAAUUUCCCGCCGAUUUUUCACCUACGUGUACACGAUGGCGAAGUGUCGUAAAAUUCCAACCACGAACGAUCCCCAGUGGCGUCUUCUAUUCCGUUGUUUUAUUAUUAAUUAAAUUGCAACGGGUUAAGGAAUUGAGUUGCAACGACACGUCUGUUUCACUUUUCAAUUUUAUUGCCGCAGUUUACUGCGAUUACUAAAUUGAAAUUUAAACAGCAAAUUAUAGCUACUUCGUACGCAUGACGAGUAUACUCGUCGAAAACAGCUAACUGAUUGAAGAAUGCGAGAAAUUGUACAGCGAACAGCAAACGCGCUAUCUCGAGUAUCAAAAGUUUGGCAGACUGUCGCCCGCUAACAUUUCGAAUACAGCUGAAUAUUUUAGCGUGUUAGCGUUAACAGAAAGAAAUUCACAACUUGGAUCGAAUUGUGUAUUUAUCCUGAAUCAACGGUAGCGCAAGUUUCACGAAGCUGUUGGUGGUCGCUGGAAUUACACGGCCGGUUAAUUUGCCCGUGAAAUUCCCCUUUGAGAACCGACCCUUUAGCAAUUUCAGCCUCAAAACUGUGCUUCGUCGCCUCUCCUGGGACGAGUUUGCGCGAAUUCUUCGAGUGUGAACGCUUGCUGCGGGCCAACUGCUCUCGUAACACGCGAAAAACCCCGAUGCAACCGGCUUAAGCCUUUGCAAUUAAGCUUAGCCUACGAUUCCAAUUGCUGUCCACUCUGGCAAUUUCCUUUCCCCACAAACGUCUUAUCAAGAACUGAUUAUACUUCGUCUGUUGCGGCGUUUCAAUCAUCACGGAUGAACAUGACGGCAGAAGAACGCAAUAGACGCGUCAUCGUGUUGAAUUUCUCAUUUUAAUAUCAUUCUAUGAUCAAGCGAGAGAAUUUUAAUGUAGUGCGAUUGGAAAUGAAAACGAACCGCUAGCUUCUGAGAUGCGAGUAUUUAACAGCAGCGUUCGAUGAUUUGGCGAAAUAGAUCAUCAAAGAAUGGAACAGUGUCCGCUGCUGAGCCGCUUUAAACAUCUUAAAUAGCUUGAAUUUAUGUUAUAGUUAUGCGUACCAAGAUUUUUAAGACAAAGAAUCUUUCUAGGAAUUGUAAAAUUCCAUUUACGAUUUUGACGAUGAAUCGCCGCUGUUAUAGUGAUCGAUGGAUGCAACUAUAAGCAGAAACCAGAAGUCAAACACCUAACCAGUUGGCACAUCUUUGAAAACCUUGAAAAGCGAUGAAAAGCAAGCGACGAGUAUACUCGUCAAACAAAGAAUACGUGUGAUUAUAAUAUAGAAUUAAAUUAAUACAGAAUCAACAAAACAACUGUCCUACUUUCUAAUUUUAUUACCGAGAGGGCUGAUCGUAACACAAAAUAUUGGCGUUUCUUCAGGACGACUAUUCUCGUGAAAAAUAACUAACUGGUUAACGCAAAAUACAAUAUAUUGGCAAAGAAAAAAGUUGCAAAUCACAAAGAAGAAGCACUUUAACCAGCGCGAUUUCAAUCUCGAUAAAUCAAAAUCUCUUUAAGCGUACAAAGAGAUGGAAAGCAUUUAAGCAUGAAGCGAUUUACUUGGAAGGAAAGAAACACUGGGAAAUCCUUUAUCUCGUUCUGAUGCUAAAACCUCAAAGGCGCAACUGAAUUAAAUGGUCGGCGGCGUUAUUCGCGUUGAAAGCAGCGUAAUCUGUAAAACAUGAAUCACCAGGAUUUAAAGCGCGAUUACGGUUAAGCCAAUAGAAUAAUCUUCUCAGGAGAAGAAUCUUCUCAAAAAAGACCCACACGUAUCCGGAGAAUCGCUGAAACCAGUUUGGAGACGACAGGCGAGCGUUCAGAAGUUCACGCGCGUGCCGAACGUCGUUCACUCUGCGCGUCCACGUUCGUCUCGAUUUUAGUUUGCACCUUAAUUUUCCCGUCUUUGCAUCUGUUACUUUUAUCUCUACCAGGUAGAGAUUAUAAUAUUUGCAAUAUUAUAAUGCGUGGCCAGAUUGCAAUAAUCGAACGUGCGAGUAAGUCGUUGAGUUUCCCUAUUCAACAAGUAUCACGUUGCUAUAUCUAUCUUUUGUUUUUGUAAUUUUCAUCUCGUACGGAGGAGGCGGACCAGCGUUUGCGUAGUAUUUAUAAUCGCAUUUUCAUCAGGCAGCCUCGUAAAAUUCUCCAUAAAAUAAUCUGAAGUGUAUCGUUGACCGUGGACUCUUUUAAACCGCCUUUUGUUUCCGAGGAAAUUUAUGUGGGCGAUCGAUAAUCUGAAAAUAUUGUCGAGCGUACAGUUAUUCGCCGCACUGUAUAUACCCGCAGCAGACACGCGAUUGACGUAAUCCAACAAUCGUCCAGCGGCGAUCUACCGCGUAGAAUAAAAUAGCACGGUAUAAAUUUGAUCUGGCAAAUUAUGAUCAGCGGCCGAAAUUCUUCGCUUCAGUCAGCUCGAUUCAUCGCCGAGCUCUUACACGCUUGUCGGCGGUAACAAUUUUCGACGAGGGAGCACUCAUCCUCCUUGGUCGACUGCAAUUUCCUCCCUUCCGUGCUUCCGCGUCUUUCGGUAUUUCUCUCCUCUCAUAUUCAUUUUUCUCUCCAUCUUAUCGUCUGCCCAAGAAAAUAAGAUUCGUCCGUGUAACGUUCUCUGCACGUUUUUCUUCCGAAUUCCAUGUCAUGUAACGUGUACUACUUGGAUCGUCCUUUUGCACAGAGUUUUAGCGCACGAUUUGCAGAUGGCACGUUUAUCGGACUCGAUUAACCCAGGCAAAGAUAUCGAAGCUUCUUCCAAAUUUAAAGAACAUUGGAAUUUCGUCCGGAAAAAGGGCGACGUAACACGAAGGUUUUGGUUUUAAGACGAGGGGAAGCUAGGGACGAAACGUUGGUAAAAAGCAUUGUUUAUUCAAGUUUGUUUGUUUUUUCUUGCGCCAAGUUACGUGGAAAAAUAGAGUGUUUAAUAUUAUCUUAUUAAAAAAUUACUAAAUUUAACCGUAUGCAUAUGUAACGCGAUGAAGGUAAUUUGCAUAAAGUUAAAUUACGCGAUUAGUAAAUUGGCGUUGAUCAUAGAUUGCGAAGACAUAAAAAAUGUUGGCAAGAAAUUUAGACUUAGGACGUGAAAGAAUUUAUUUUGUGGAUAUAAAAAUUCAAGGCCGAAGAUAGAAGCGCUUGCAUGUUUAAUAUGCAAAUGUAUAAUUACUGUUAUUAUGAAAGCAAAGUUGUAAUGAAAUAUUUUUGAAGUAUUCAUGAAUCAAAAGUACAAUAAUUAAAGCGUUCCUCGAGCAGCU